UUUCGACGCUGACGUCGCCGUUAAGCUCAGUUCCCGUCUGGACUUUGGCAGUGGCGGUUCCUGUGCUCUCCGGUCGCUGGAAUCGGGAACCUCGCCCGCUUCGGUUCCUGGUCGCAGAGGAAGGUGCCCGCUUGUCCUCUCUCGCCCUCGCGAGCUCUUCAUCCGUUUAAGUUCCUAGACGCCGUUGCGUUUGCGGACGGAUCUCCGUUGUCAGGAGGGAGCCAUGUCCUCGGCCGCCACGUCUAAGUACGUGAACGACAUGUGGCCCGGCUCUCCGCAGGAGAAAGCCUCGCCGUCCACCUCCGGCUCGGGCCGCUCCAGCCGCCUGUCGUCGCGCUCCCGCAGCCGCUCUUCGUCCCGCAGCUCCCGACGCGACUCCCGCAGCUCUAGCCGCUCGUCCUCGCGCAGCCACAGCCGGCCGCGGAGGAGCAGACGGUCCCGGUCCCGAUCCCGGUCCCGCAGGCGCCACCAGCGCAAGUACAGGCGCUACUCGCGCUCGUACUCCCGCAGCCGGUCGCGCUCCCGCAGCCACCGCUACCACCGCGACAGCCGUUACGAGCGGCCGCGGAGGUACUACAAGUCGCCGUCGCCCUACCGCUCCCGGAGCAGGUCGCGCUCCCGCGGGAGGUCGCAGCACCGGUGGUCGUACUACGCGAUCACUAGAGGCCGGCGCUACUACGGCUUCGGCCGGACCGUGUACCCCGAGGAUCGCCCCAGGUGGAGGGAAAGAUCCAGAACCAGGUCGCGCAGCAGGAGCAGAACCCCUUUUCGCCUGAGUGAGAAAGAUCGAAUGGAGCUACUAGAAAUAGCAAAAGCCAACGCAGCAAAAGCUCUGGGAACAGCCAACUUCGACUUGCCAGCAAGUCUCCGAGCCAAGGAGGCAAGCCAGGGAACAGCUGUUUCCAGCAGUGGGCCAAAGGUGGAGAAAUCAUGAAUGUGGUCUCCAGACAGUGAUGAAGAAAAUCUGUUGGUAAUUGAUGAUGGGUUCAAGUGUCAGAGUUUGUUUACAGACUAAAGCUUAGCUAUUGUUGAAGGGAGUUUGUGUGCAUGCUAGAGUUUUGGGCUAGGGACUGUUUGUGCAAGGCAGUGACAGCUCAGCAGACUAGAGGCACUGUCAUGGUGGGCAUCUGUGAUCUAGACGUCCUUCACAUGAUAUAUGCAAUAUAUUCCAGAUGUUUUGAGAGAUUACAGAAGAAGAGGCCUGCUUCACUUGCAGAUAAGUUUAUUACAAUUCUCCAGAACUACAGAGGGUGUGCAUUGGCACACUGCAGUAUAUAUUAAGUUCAUUUCUUUAUGUGAAACCUGGAUCUUAAGGUUAAUAAUAAUUUGGGCUGGGGUGUAACUCAGUUGUAGAGAACUUUGUCAGGGUGCAUAGUACCUGGGGUUAACUCCCAGCACUGUGUAGACUGGGUUUAGUGCCCCACUCCUGUGGUCCCAGCACUUGGGAGGCUGUCCGUGGACAGCUAAGGGAUAGAUACAAGAGACUUGGUCUCAGAAAACUGCUUUAUAGAAACAUAAGGUAAAAAAUAACAGUAUAAUGAAGGUGAUUUGUCCAUUGCUGAGAUCUCAGGGGCUGCCUGGUCUUUGCUCAGGCAGGUACCUAAGAGGGGCUCCUUGAUGAGUGGAUUACAAAAGCCUCAGUUUUUUAGACAAAGCAUUUUUUAUUGUACUUAAUCAAAAUGAGGUGUAACUACAACAGGAAUCUGGUAUUCGUGGGGAGCUACGCCUCCCAAGUCAUUCUGGCUAAGUGGAAAACAGGCUUUUGUCGUUGAUUAGCUCCUUAACUGUGACAAGAGAUGGAAUUUGGUUUGUGUAUCUACAGCUACAUUUGUGUAUGUUGGGCUUUCUUUUUUUUUAAUACAAUAUUUUAAAAAUUAAGGCUAUGUUUAAAAUUCUCUUCCUCUUUAGCAUUCAGAAAAGCAGACUGAAGAUACAACUAAAAAUACCAGUGAAAAGUCUUCUUCACAAAGAAACAUAGCCUUCAGCUCCAAUAAUUCCGUAGCAAAG